rnacentral:rRNA from 1 species
UACAGAGACUGCAAGCGUUAUUCGGAUUUACUGGGCGUAAAGCGCACGUAGGCGGUUUGUUAAGUCAGGGGUGAAAUCCCGGAGCUCAACUCCGGAACUGCCUUUGAUACUGGCAAGCUAGAGUCCGGAAGAGGUAAGUGGAACUCCUAGUGUAGAGGUGGAAUUCGUAGAUAUUAGGAAGAACACCAGUGGCGAAGGCGGCUUACUGGUCCGGAACUGACGCUGAGGUGCGAAAGCGUGGGGAGCAAACAGG